rnacentral:rRNA from 1 species
UAAUACGGAGGGUGCAAGCGUUGUUCGGAUUCACUGGGUAUAAAGGGUGCGCAGGCGGCCUGAUAAGUCAGAGGUGAAAUAUGUCGGCUCAACCGACAAACGGCCCCUGAAACUGUCAGGCUUGAGUCCGGGAGAGGAAGGUGGAAUUCCUGGUGUAGCGGUGAAAUGCGUAAAUAUCAGGAGGAACACCAGUGGCGAAGGCGGCCUUCUGGCCCGGAACUGACGCUCAGGCACGAAAGCCAGGGGAGCGAACGGGAUUAGAUACCCCGGUAGUCCUGGCCGUAAACGAUGGGCACUAGGUGUUGGAGGAGUCUACCCCUUCAGUGCCGCAGCUAACGCAUUAAGUGCCCCACCUGGGGAGUACGAUCGCAAGGUUG